UACGUAGGGUGCGAGCGUUGUCCGGAAUUAUUGGGCGUAAAGAGCUCGUAGGCGGUCUGUCGCGUCGGUCGUGAAAACUUGGGGCUUAACCCUGAGCUUGCGGUCGAUACGGGCAUGACUGGAGUUCGGUAGGGGAGACUGGAAUUCCUGGUGUAGCGGUGAAAUGCGUAGAUAUCAGGAGGAAUACCGAUGGCGAAGGCAGGUCUCUGGGCUGACACUGACGCUCAUGCACGAAAGCGUGGGGAGCAAACAGG
rnacentral:rRNA from 1 species